UAUUGAUGUCUGAUUAUUUAAUUUCAGGCCAUAAUCCUGUCACCUUAGGUCGAUCGGUACCUCAGGUUAAAGACUUACUGAAAUGAGAAAUCAAAAUAAAUAAGUUUUUAAUUUCAGUUCCUAAACUUGUCUAGGUCACACCCAACAAACUUUCUCCUGGGCUAUUAGCUCAGGCGGUUAGAGCGCACCCCUGAUAAGGGUGAGGUCCCUGGUUCAAGUCCAGGAUGGCCCAUUCGUUGUUGGGGGUAUAGCUCAGUUGGUAGAGCGCCUGCUUUGCAAGCAGGAUGUCAGCGGUUCGAGUCCGCUUACCUCCACUGAUCAACUGCCUGAUAACACAAUUGGAGAUUUGUUAUUUGUUUAUGGUGACUUAGAAAUUGUUCAACUGAAUGAACCUAGCUUCCUAUCAUUCCUUAUCUUCUUUGAGGUUGAUAAGACGCUGGGCUCACUGAUUAAUUGAAAAAUUAUCAGUUUGUUUCAGCAGAACCUUGACAACUGCAUAGGAAAAGUCUGAAAAAAAAAAGCAUCUCAUAGAGUUUAGAUGCUUAAUUUAGUUUAACUAAAUUAAGUUUUCUAUUUUCAAUUCUUGAGUUAGAGCAAAAUUCUAUAACUGUUUUUCUUGCUAAGGAGUUUUCAACUAAU
rnacentral:tRNA from 1 species